UACGUAGGGGGCAAGCGUUGUCCGGAAUCAUUGGGCGUAAAGCGCGUGUAGGCGGCUGGCUAAGUCCGCUCUGAAAGCCCGGGGCUCAACCCCGGGAGGCGGGUGGAUACUGGUCAGCUCGAGUCCGGAAGAGGAGUGUGGAAUUCCAGGUGUAGCGGUGAAAUGCGUAGAUAUCUGGAGGAACACCGGUGGCGAAGGCGGCAUCCUGGACCGACACUGACGCUGAGGAGCGAAAGCCAGGGGAGCAAACGGG
rnacentral:rRNA from 1 species